rnacentral:rRNA from 1 species
GACGAACGCUGGCGGCGUGCUUAACACAUGCAAGUCGAACGGAAAGGCCCUGCUUUUGUGGGGUGCUCGAGUGGCGAACGGGUGAGUAACACGUGAGUAACCUGCCCUUGACUUUGGGAUAACUUCAGGAAACUGGGGCUAAUACCGGAUAGGAGCUCCUGCUGCAUGGUGGGGGUUGGAAAGUUUCGGCGGUUGGGGAUGGACUCGCGGCUUAUCAGCUUGUUGGUGGGGUAGUGGCUUACCAAGGCUUUGACGGGUAGCCGGCCUGAGAGGGUGACCGGCCACAUUGGGACUGAGAUACGGCCCAGACUCCUACGGGAGGAAGCAGUGGGGAAUAUUGCACAAUGGGCGGAAGCCUGAUGCAGCAACGCCGCGUGCGGGAUGACGGCCUUCGGGUUGUAAACCGAUUUCGCCUGUGACGAAGCGUGAGUGACGGUAAUGGGUAAAGAAGCACCGGCUAACUACGUG